rnacentral:lncRNA from 1 species
AUAACAUAACAGGAUUUAUUUUGAAAGUGGUGACUCCACAAUAAAAACAUAGAUAUCUAAUUUGCCUUACAAAGGCCGAUUUGCAAAUCUAGUAUUUCCAGUGGUUCUUUCUUUCUUUCUUUCUUUCUUUUUUUUUUUUAAUGCCCCAUAUGACGCUGCUUUGUUGGAAUUGCCAUUGGUGAGGAUCUCACUGAUAAAGAAGGGGACAUCCCUCCCUUGAUAGACUUUAGGGUUGCACUAGAGCCAUGCCCCCUUUGAAGUGGCCUCUAAGCAAACUCUGUCUUGUCAUCAUUUUCCUCUCUGCAGCUGUAAGUGAUACGGAGCUGUAUUUUGAGUUUUUGAUACUGAUAUUACUAAGGCAAUUGGAGGGAUUCUUAAUUCAUCUAAAAAAAAUCAGGGAUUCUGACAGAUAAAAGGAUUUGGAGGAAAUGUCAGAAUAAAGCAUUGUGGGUUCAUGAAGUCCUAGGUUUUAUAAUUAAGGUUUAUAGGCAGGUAUUACCGCUGCUGACUGGAUUCAACUGUCUGGAUUGGAGAUGAACAAACUGCCAUCUCUGGGCUAACUCUGACCCACUGCCUGAUUUUCUUUCUGAACCUGAAGAACUUUGUAGAUUGAAAGCUGUAGCUUGUGGACCUCUCUCUGUGGAGAUCAGCAUCUCAGUAUCCAGGGGGAAGCCAUCUCUUCACCCAAAGCUUCCGCUAGGAGAUCAAGAGGCCCGGAACCCCGCAGUCCUGAAUGCUAACCAGUAGAGACAAGGGAGGAAUUCAUUUCUGUUUGUGUUCAACAUAGACUGAGCAGGAAGGGCCAGGUGUUUUACGACUCUUUGGAGUUAGCAGCUUGUUGGCUCUGAUUUGGUAAAAGCAAC